GUUUCAUUUUACGCCAUAUAAAUAACGUUUGAAUAUAAAAUAUAAGUACGCAAUUAAACAAGAGUACCUACUGCGGAAGUUAAUGCACCGCCGUCGUAGUUAUCCGUGUCUCGUUUACUGAUGACGGCGAAUUAAUUGACAAGAAAUGUUAAUAGACUGCUUUCACAGUGUACGCACUCGUAAGUGUGCGUUUUCACGGGUACAACAAGGAAAACUUAACUCGAUCU